CAACCUUUAAACGGGAUUGGAAACUGGAUAUCUGGAGGACGGGAGAGGAAAGGGGAAUUCCAGGGGUAGCGUUUAAAUGUUUAAAGAUUUGCGCCCGCCGCGCUCCGCGCCGGUCCCGCCCCCCCCCAAGGGAGCAGCAGGCGGGAAAGCGUGGGGAGCAAACAGGAUUAGAUACCCUGGUAGUCCACGCCGUAAACGAUGAGUGCUAGGUGUAGAGGGUAUCG
rnacentral:rRNA from 1 species